UACAGAGGUCUCAAGCGUUGUUCGGAAUUACUGGGUGUAAAGGGUUCGUAGGCGGUGCGGCAAGUUGGGAGUGAAAUCUCUGGGCUUAACCCAGAGGCUGCUUCCAAAACUGCUGUGCUUGAGUGUGGGAGAGGCGCGUGGAAUUGCAGGUGUAGCGGUGAAAUGCGUAGAUAUCUGCAGGAACACCCGUGGCGAAAGCGGCGCGCUGGACCACUACUGACGCUGAGGAACGAAAGCUAGGGGAGCAAACAGG
rnacentral:rRNA from 1 species